rnacentral:rRNA from 1 species
AGUGAACGCUGGCGGUAGGCCUAACACAUGCAAGUCGAACGGCAGCACAGUAAGAGCUUGCUCUUACGGGUGGCGAGUGGCGGACGGGUGAGGAAUACAUCGGAAUCUACUUUUUCGUGGGGGAUAACGUAGGGAAACUUACGCUAAUACCGCAUACGACCUACGGGUGAAAGCAGGGGAUCUUCGGACCUUGCGCGAUUGAAUGAGCCGAUGUCGGAUUAGCUAGUUGGCGGGGUAAAGGCCCACCAAGGCGACGAUCCGUAGCUGGUCUGAGAGGAUGAUCGGCCACACGGGAACUGAGACACGGUCCAGACUCCUACGGGAGGCAGCAGUGGGGAAUAGUGGGCAAUGGGCGCAAGCCUGAUCCAGCCAUACCGCGUGGGUGAAGAAGGCCUUCGGGUUGUAAAGCCCUUUUGUUGGGAAAGAAAAGCAGCAGGUUAAUACGACGCUGUUCUGACGGUACCCAAUGAAUAAGCACCGGCUAACUACGUG